rnacentral:lncRNA from 1 species
ACAAAUAUAUUUUAUUUUAAAUGAAAUCUUUCAUUUUUCAAUUUCACCAAAUAACAUCAUAACAUUGUUUUUUUUAAGCAAGGGGCUUAGCCCAUAAUAUAUUAAUAAACGGUAACCAUACAAGCUUAGUUGACAAACCUAUAAGAAGGUAAUUGAAGACAAUUCCUAUACAAAAAAGGAUGAAUUAAUGUAGGGGAUGACUCCACCAAGUAUAGCAAUUCUGAUCAAUGCCCAAGUUUGUCAAUAAAUUAGCACAUUGGUUUCCCUCCCUAUAGAUAUGCGUUAUCCAACAAUCCAUUGAAGACAUGAGAACCUUGCAAGACCUCCAAAUGUAAAUUAUUUGUUGAUCAAUAUGAAAAGAAGGAGGAAACUUAUCUCCAAAAUCAUACUCAAUAUUGAUCUAUGCAUUUUCACUAUGUAGAUUUAUACAUAAUUAAUAUUUAAUUCAUUAAUGAUUUGUUGAAUUUAGAAGUAUCGAUGAAAAAUAGGCCUCUAAAGGUCUUUAAUAUUCUCCUUCUACUGACUAUCCAAUAAUGAUUAUGUAUUAGAAUAGAUUGAUGAUGAUUAUCUAUCCCAAGUUAGUGUCUCUAACUCUGUUCCUUCAAAUAAUAUACUGUCAUAUAAUGUUUAUUCUGUUUUAAUAAAGAAUGAAAUGACACAUAAGAAUGAAUAAUUUUUUACUGGAAUGGUAAACUGACAUUUUUAAAUUAUUGUGGGAUAGAGUUAGAGACAUCAAAUGAGAUAUGUGAUCUUCAGGAGCACAUCUUCUGUCCUAAAAAGUAUGUCAAUCCAUUUACCACUCACUUGUGAUUGAUCGAUAAAAUAUAUAAGUUAAAAUUUAAUAAUUAUGUAUUUUACUGACCAAUCAUAAAUGGUGGCUCAUGGAAUGACACACUUUCUGAGACAGAAGAUGUCAUCCCGUUAUCUUCCUCCACCAGAGAUAAUACAAGUAAUUGUUAUUGGAUAAUGAUAAUCAUUAAGAAGACGUCUUGAACACUUUAUCACCAAUAUUCUAUUCAACAAACAUAUAUUAAUUUGAUUGGAAACUCUUGAUUUUAUAGGUUUCACCAAAUAAAAUCAUUAUAUCAUCAAGUAUUUGUUGAUUAAUCUGAAAAGAAAAGGGAAAAUUGUCCACAAAAUCAUAUUGGGGUGAAUAUUCUUUUCCAUUGCACCUUUAAGUGUUGUGAUAUAACAUAUAAUGUAAAUGAACAUCAACCCUUUCAUGACCCAUCUCUACUACUUAUUUUGCUAGUCUUUAAAAAAAAUGUAUAUAUAACAUUCAUCUUGUGACAAACAAACAAAUAGAACAUACAUAAAAAUUUAUGGAAUUUUUUUGUAUUAAGUUCCAUUUAUAUACAGCAUGUGAUAAUAUUUGUUAUUAUGAGAAUUAUUUGAACAAUCAAAAUUAAAAAGAAAUGUUUAUGUGAUAAAUAAGUGACUUUUAAUCUCAAUCAUCCAACUAAUAAAACUUUAUUUAAAGAGUAAAAUAAGCACUCAAACGUGUUACGAUUCAAAAUUUUAUCUCAAAUUUUUUUUGGUACAUCGGAAAGAUGUAUCAAGAUUAAAACUUUAUUUAAAAACAACGACAGAAACUUAUUAAGAUUCAAAUUGUAUGGUUAAAUACUCACAGAGAUUCAAUUUGUUUUUCAAAAGAUGUCCUUUAUACAUUCAAGUAAAAUUCAAUCAUUAAAACUUGAAGAUCAAAACAAUUUCAAAGACAAAUUUAAUCAAGCUUGGGAAAAUCUUAUCAUAAGCAAACACCACAUGGUAAUAAAAUGAUUGGAAGAAUUCUCCCCAUACCUCAAAUUGUGAAUCCAAACUUCAUCUUCUUC